CAUUGCGGGAUGCUUACCAUGCAAGUCGAACGGAAUCCUUAGGGAUUUAGUGGCGGACGGGUGAGUAACGCGUGAGAAUCUGGCUUCAGGUCUGGGACAACAGUUGGAAACGACUGCUAAUACCGGAUGUGCCGAGAGGUGAAAGGCUUGCUGCCUGAAGAUGAGCUUGCGUCUGAUUAGCUAGUUGGUGGGGUAAGAGCCUACCAAGGCGACGAUCAGUAGCUGGUCUGAGAGGAUGAUCAGCCACACUGGGACUGAGACACGGCCCAGACUCCUACGGGAGGCAGCAGUGGGGAAUUUUCCGCAAUGGGCGAAAGCCUGACGGAGCAAUACCGCGUGAGGGAGGAAGGCUCUUGGGUUGUAAACCUCUUUUCUCAGGGAAGAAAAAAAUGACGGUACCUGAGGAAUAAGCAUCGGCUAACUCCGUGCCAGCAGCCGCGGUAAUACGGAGGAUGCAAGCGUUAUCCGGAAUGAUUGGGCGUAAAGGGUCCGCAGGUGGCUAUGUAAGUCUGCUGUUAAAUAGUCAUGCUCAACAUGAUCAAGGCAGUGGAAACUACAAGGCUAGAGUGCGUUCGGGGCAGAGGGAAUUCCUGGUGUAGCGGUGAAAUGCGUAGAAAA
rnacentral:rRNA from 1 species